UUUUUAGACAAAAGAGGGUCGUUUAACUUUUAGCAUAUAAUGACAAAGCAGGGCUGAAUAAGAACUGAUAACAGAAAAAGAAAACGGAAUAAACAGCCAGAAGACGAGGAAUAGCUCAGUGGCAAAACAUGACUUUCCAGAUUGGCAGAGAGGAGGUGGUGGAGGUAACAUAGAAAACAAAAAUCAACAAAGACAAUAAAACAUGCUGACACCACUCACACCAGAUAUGACUUUGGUUCAUUCAAAUUAAGGCAAGGCUUUGUGUUACUGCAACACAUUGAAUUCAAAUUUUCUAAAUCUAGCUAUUCAGGUAAAAGGUAAAUGGCGUAGCUUGAUAAUUGGCAUUUAGCAGUAAAAAUGAGAUAUAGGAGAGUCAAGAUGUAUCUUUGUGGUACAAUAAAAGAGAGGUAGCCUUCCAAUGUGUACAAAGAAUGCUGGUAGGCAAUUACAUGAUUUAUACAUGAUUACAUAGCCUUUGACUCACCACACAGUGUACUCAUUCUUCAUACACAAAAAUGAAUUCGAUUCAUGAUUUUCACUGAUUGACUAUUGAAUGACAAGAACACAUUUGAGGAUUACUUGCAAGAUUGUGCUAACAAAAGCAAAUUUGAAAUACCAUACAUACCUGCAAUUCAAAAUUCUGCCUCACAGAGGUAACAAGCAAGUCACCCUGGGGAGACACUGCUGUAUUCAAUGCUAGCUCUCUAUUCCAUUCAGGGUUUGGGGUCCUUGUCAUUGUGUUAGGUGUUCUGGA